UGCGUUGAAGGUUGCAUUCAAUUUUCUCAAUUUCUUGAAAACCCAACAUUCAAAGACCAAGAAUAUCAACACCCAACUUCUCAAUUUCAGUAAAGUUUCUGUCUUUAUCAAUCUUGACCCAAAAUACGUUGAAUUUUCACAAUAUCUUGAAAACCCAACAUUAAAACAUCAAGAAAAUCAACACCCACUAUCUGAAUUGCUAUAAAGUUUCAAUCUUUAACACACCCACCAUCAAAUCUUGACCCAAAAUGGUGGUAAAGAUGAUGAAAUGGAGACCUUGGCCACCAAUAUUAUCAAGAAAGUUUGAGGUGAAAGUGGUGGUGAAGAAGAUGGAAUUUGGGGGUUGUGAUCCUGUACAUGCGGACACAGAGAAAGAUUAUCAUAGGGUUGUGGAGAUCAAGUGGAAAGGACCCAAGAUCACUCUUGGUUCAUUGAGGAGAACAGUGAAGAGAGAGGUUACAAAAGAUGGGAGUAUUGUUGAUCCAAACGGUGUCGUUUUUGUGGGAUCAAGAAUUUUGUUCAGUUUGUACCCUUUCUGGUAUAAAGAAAAUGAGUUUCUUCCUUGGGAGAUUGGGUUGAAAGUCUUAAAUGUAAUUUUUUCAUACGUUUUGAUUCGAUGGUAUUUAAUUCGAGUUAGUUUCUGUUUAAACCUGCCGCAAUGAGGGAGGGAUUGCCACAUCUCACAUGAGUAAACCCACAAUCAGACGCUUCACUCGCCAACAUUCACAAUCCACAAAAUUCACAAUCACCAAUUCACAAUGGAGCGAAACAACAACUACAAUCGCGGCGGAAAUGACGGUGGUGGCCGGGGUAAUGGCGGUAGAGGAGGCGGUGGCCGCGGUGGUGGUGGUUAUCAUCACGGUGGACGAAACGGAAAUUAUUCGCAACAAUACAGUAAUCAACAACAGGAACAGUAUCAGGAAAAUUAUGGAGGCGAUAGAGGUAGAGGCAGGGGUCGAGAAUCCAGUGGGAUCGGAAGUGUUCUCGGCCGUGGUCAGCAAAGUCAACGGACUCCGGCUAACCCUAGGCAGAAUGUCGAUCGAGUGCCGGAAGUCAACGCGUGAAGUCGUGUAGCGUCUGGUCAACCGGCUGUGGCCCAAACACAAACCCUAACUCAGAACCGGAAUGAUCGUUAGGUUCAAGAAGUCAGUUCAAAAUUAUCAACUCUUAGUGUUACAGGCCACUCAAAAGAUGAUGUAGCAAAUGCUCUUCUACCAAUUAAGUGUCCGGACCGCGGUACACACGAAAUGAGAUCGGUGACAAGCGACUCAAGAUCGCAUUCGAGCUUUGGUCUCUCAGAAAAGAUGUGCCAGAGGAAUCGGCUAUUGGGUGUGAAGGAGGGUAGUUCUUUGGGGAUGAUAUGCCACGUAGACGUCCACGUCAGCGGGUGUGGGGAAUGAGCCCCAAGGGAUGGGCUUAGGGUGUGGGGAUGAGCCCCUUUAUAUAUACAUUUGUAUGUAUAUGUGUCUGUUGGAUAAACAAGAUGGCUCGUCGAGCACGUCGAGGGGAAGAUGUCGGCGACGGGACGGGCCUAUGGGGGGUGGUGUGGACGGGGCUCGACGUCCCACCGACGACCCCAUACCCAAUAGCCUAAACCGAAGAUGCUACGUCUCCACAUGCAGUUAUUUUUAGUUAUUAUGUUUUAGUUGUUUGGAUGCAUCCCGUGCUUAUAAUUAGGUUAUUUUAGGCUUAAGAGUAAAUUACAAAACUCGUCCUUUAUGUAUGCAACUUAUUGCAAACUAUGUCCUUUAUCUUUAAUAAGUACAAAAACCAUAUUUGAUGUUUGCAAACCUUUA